UGGGGAAUAUUGCGCAAUGGGGGAAACCCGUGACGCAGCGACGCCGCGUGUGGGAUGAAGGUCUUCGGAUUGUAAACCACUGUCGCGAGGGACGAAGCUCUGACGGUACCUCGAAAGGAAGCACCGGCUAACUCUGUGCCAGCAGCCGCGGUAAUACAGAGGGUGCGAGCGUUGUCCGGAAUCACUGGGCGUAAAGGGCGCGUAGGCGGCCCGGUAAGUAGGGGGUGAAAUCUCAUGGCUCAACUGUGAGGCUGCCUUCUAGACUGCCAGGCUUGAGCACAGUAGAGGCGAGUGGAAUUCCCGGUGUAGCGGUGGAAUGCGUAGAGAUCGGGAAGAACAUCGGUGGCGAAGGCGGCUCGCUGGGCUGUUGCUGACGCUGAGGCGCGAAAGCGUGGGGAGCAAACAGGAUUAGAUACCCCCGUAGUCCCUGAGCGGGCUGGCAAGGCGCAU
rnacentral:rRNA from 1 species